rnacentral:lncRNA from 1 species
GCUCGAUCGCCUUCUUCCCGCCGUUGUCCACGCCAACCGCGGCCGUUCCCGGAACCUUGAUGGGUCCGAGGUAGCCGACGGUGCCGGCGCCGCCGUAGGUGGAAGCCUCGUCGGGGUGCUGAACUUGGUUCAUGAUGUAGGACCAGCCGUUGAUGUUCUCGUGGUACCAGACGCCGGUGGUCUCGGCCUCCUGGACGACGGUGCUGAUGCGGGUGAGGCCGUGGGUCUCCAUGUGGUAGGCCCAGACGGCGUUGUUCUUGUGCUUUGAGGUGUCCUCGCCGAUGAGGAGAAUGUCGUGGCCGUUCAUGAACGCGACGUUGUCGGGGUUGGCGAUGUUGUGGAUGUCGCAAUCGUCGUCGCCGUCCGUGUGUCCCAGCUUGUCCUCGGUGUUGAAGGACUUGUCCUUGGGGACGCCGCAGAUGAGGGGAGAGAUGGACUUGAUGCGGUUGUUGGCGUCAAGGGGCGCGCGGUAAACGCAGCCGCAGGUGUUCUUCUCGAUGCCGAUGUGAUCACCUUCCGCAUGGUCGCCCUUGCUGUCAAGCUUGUGCUCCAUGGAAGCUUCGUUGGAAGAGAUGGCGAAGUACAUCUCCUUGCGGUUCUCUGACCAGGUGAUGCCCUCGAGCUUGCGCCACUGGGAGCUUGCGCCAACGUAGGCGGCGUAGAUGCGGGUCUCGAAUCGGGAGGCGGCGAUCUCCAUGCCGGUCUUGAGCUUGAGGCACAUCGCGCCGCCGUCGACGACGGUGGCCUUGAAGCCGGAAGCGCAAGUGAAGUCGUAAUCGCCGUUGGGGCCGGCGGUCUUGGUGCCGAUUUCAAACAUGUCGGUGAACUUGAUGUAGCUGCCAUCGGCUUUGGUCAUGAGGGCCUUGACCUGCGCGUUCGAGGCUUUGCCGAGGGAGACCCACUCGACGUCGAACUUGCCAGCGCCGACGCCCUUGGCGGAUGUCUGCGUGACCUUCAUGGCGAAAAGCUCGCCAGAGGAGAGGUCGUUGGCCUUGUCAGGGACAAACAUCGCGGCGACGCCGGUGUUGGAGUCGUCGGUGAUGUAGCACACCUGGGGAGUAGCAUCGACGCAGUACGGGAGCUCGAUGGAGUAGCGGCCCAUGGAGUAGUGCUUGGUGGCAGUGAUGACGGGCUCAUCGGCGGACUUGGAAUCGUCGAUGGAGACCUCGUUGACCCAGCGGUGCAUGUACGGAGUCCAGGAUUUCUUAAUCUUGGCGAGGUCAUCGUCGUGGAGACUGAGAUGGCGCAGCGACAGAACGUCUCCGCCCAGAUCCGAAGUCUUCGUGUAGGCACCGGUGACGGCGCUGUCCCACUUGAGGGAGCUCGGGACGCCCCACUCCUCGCCUCCAAGGUGGGUGUUCCACGGGGAAACGGAACCAGCGCAGGUGGCGAUGAGGCCGCUGUCGGCGGAGAAAUCGGCGUGGAAGAUCUUGUCAGGGGUGAGGAUGCCCGUGCCGGGGUUCUGCUUGAGACGAAGGACCUGGAUGUUCGCGGGGCGAUCCUCGAGGUGCACGGCGGCCCAGAGAGUGUUUGGCGUGGCCUUGUUGCGGGUCUUGAGGAUGGAUACGAAAUCCUCCAUGUUGGAGAUCUUGGUCUUGCUGGCCUUGCCGAUUGCGGCGUCGUAUGCGAGGGUGGACUUGCCGCUGUCACUCAUGCCGGUGAUUGUGGCCACGCUCCCGAGUUCCGAGGAGUGCGGCAUGGUCUUGCCGCUAUCGUCGAGGAGCUCGGCGAAGGUGACACCGCCGACCUUCUGACCGGAUCGGAUGAUCUCGGUGUACUGCAGCUUCUGGAAGAGGCCCUUGUACACGAUCCAAGGGGAGGCCAUGUUCGACUGUUGCGCAGCGGAGGUCUCCGGGUAGGGGGAUUCUCCGAAGAACGUGCCGGUUGCUCCGGUGAUGGCGACGGGCUGGGUGGGUUCGGCCUCGACACCCGGAACCUUGAUGGGUCCGAGGUAGCCGACGGUGCCGGCGCCGCCGUAGGUGGAGGCCUCGUCGGGGUGCUGAACUUGGUUCAUGAUGUAGGACCAGCCGUUGAUGUUCUCGUGGUACCAGACGCCGGUGGUCUCGGCCUCCUGGACGACGGUGUUGAUGCGGGUGAGGGCGUGGGUCUCCAUGUGGUAGGCCCAGACGGCGUUGUUCUUGUGCUUGGAGGUGUCCUCGCCGAUGAGGAGAAUGUCGUGGCCGUUCAUGAACGCGACGUUGUCGGGGUUGGCGAUGUUGUGGAUGUCGCAUUUGUCGUCGCCGUCCGUGUGUCCAAGCUUGUCCUCGGUGUUGAAGGACGUGGGGACGCCGCAGACGAGGGGAGAGAUGGACUUGAUGCGGUUGUUGGCGUCGAGGGGCGCGCGGUAAACGCAGCCGCAGGUGUUCUUCUCGAUGCCGAUGUGAUCACCUUCCGCAUGGUCGCCCUUGCUGUCAAGCUUGUGCUCCAUGGAAGCUUCGUUGGAAGAGAUGGCGAAGUACAUCUCCUUGCGGUUCUUUGACCAG